rnacentral:rRNA from 1 species
UGGGUCUCGCUCGUUACCUGACUUAACAGGAUGCUUCACAGUACGAACUGACGACGGCCAUGCACCACCUCUCAGCUAAUCCGGCAAAGUCUUCAGCCUGACCUUCAUAUCGCUGUCGCCCCCGGUAAGAUUUCCGGCGUUGAAUCCAAUUAAACCGCAAGCUCCACCCGUUGUAGUGCUCCCCCGCCAAUUCCUUUAAGUUUCAGCCUUGCGGCCAUACUUCCCAGGUGGCUCGCUUCACGGCUUCCCUACGGCACCAAACACGGUCGCACCGUGACUGACACCUAGCGAGCAUAGUUUACAGCUAGGACUACCCGGGUAUCUAAUCCGGUUCGUGCCCCCAGCUUUCGUCCCUUACCGUCAGGACCCGUUCUGGUGAGACGCCUUCGCCACUGGUGGUCCCUCAAGGAUCACAAGAUUUCACCCCUACCCCCGAAGGUACCUCUCACCUCUCCCGGUCCUCAAGCCAAACAGUAUCCCCUAGAAAGCCUGACAGUUAAGCUGCCAGAUUUCCCAAGAGACUUAUCCUGGCCGGCUACAGACCCUUUAGACCCAAUAAUAACGGUUACCACUCGAGCCGCCGGUGUUACCGCGGCGGCUGGCACCGGUCUUGCCCGGCCCUUGCUAUGACAGAUGCUUUUUAGGCAUCACGACAGCCAACAUUAGUAACCUGGCACUCGAGAUCCCCUUAUCACGGUUGCCCAGCAUUGUAAAGUUUUCGCGCCUGCUGCACCCCGUAGGGCCUGGAUUCGUGUCUCAG